GGCCUAAUGGCCCAAUGGCAAGGCGCUUGACUACGAUUCAGUUCGACAAAUCAAGAGAUUCCAGGUUCGACCCCUGGUUAGGUCA